rnacentral:lncRNA from 1 species
AUGCUGUGGCCAAGGCCUCCAAGGAGACUCAUGUAGUGAGUGGAUAGUCCACCAGCCUUUUAGCUGGGUGUGGGACGAGGAGGUGUGGAGGAAGAAGUCCUCCUUGUCUUGUUUGUGACUUUCCCAAUGUGGAGAAUAUUAAGCUAAAAGCAUUACCUAGAAAAACUGGUUUGGGCUUCAACAACCUUGACCCUUUUCUCUGCUCAGUCCUUUGGGAUCCUAUUUCUUGGUGCUAAGAAGGGGUUCAUUCUCAAGUUAACCUAUUUCCUAUAAAAGGAAACCAGACUCAUGUCCCAGCCUCCCAUGGGACUGACUCAGCUUUGCCUCCCACAUUGCAGAUGGAUUACCGGGCCUUGGUGCAUGAGCGAGAUGAGGCAGCCUAUGGGGAGCUCAGGGCCAUGGUGCUGGACCUGAGGGCCUUCUAUGUGAGUGUGGAGUAAGGCUUUAGGGGAGGUGGAUGAGUGGGGGCAGGCAGGGGAUUGGCUAAGAACCUGACUCUUGCACUCUGGCCUUCUCCCAGGCUGAGCUUUAUCAUAUCAUCAGCAGCAACCUGGAGAAAAUUGUCAACCCAAAGGGUGAAGAAAAGCCAUCUAUGUACUGAACCCGGGACUAGAAGGAAAAUAAAUGAUCUAUAUGUUGUGUG